GUUAAGUUUUUUAGAUAAGGUGGUUCACACAGUUCAACAUAGUAUUAAAACAAGCAAUGGUCCUUGGUUUGAGUCUCCCCAUCUAUCAAAAAAAUAUUUUCACUUGCUUAACCUAUGAAAAAGAACCAUGCUGUGUGUGAGAGGGCAUGCCAGACCUAAAAUGUAUAAAGUGUCCAAUCUCUAACAUACUAAGCUUAUAGAUGCAGCAGUGCCGACAAUUAAACAUUUUGUAUAGAUGUUUCUCAGCAGUUUAAUAAGAAUAUUGUUUUUCUCGAUCAAGUAAUAAUUUUCAUAUAUUUAAUACUAAGUAAUAAUGUGUAAAAACUAAAAAAG
rnacentral:lncRNA from 1 species